CUUAAGGGCAAAGCAGGUUCCCUCGAGAAAGACAAGAAAUUCUGCCAGUGCUGUAGCACCAGCUCCUGACCGAGAGUUGCCCAGCCAGAACCCACCAUUGAGUGAGUCAGUCGCUGAGAUCGGUCUGCUUCCCUGUCAGGACCCUGGCCGACACCAGGAGGAAGCGGGCACCUCUCCCUUCCAUUCAUUCUCUGGGUGCUGACUUGGAGCCGUGACAAACUCUAGACACUGCGCUAGACCCUGGGAAUGUCACAGACACGUUACGGGACAGCAGGGAACACUGGCGUGGAAAAGAUCCUCCUCCCGCAGAGGGAAGCUGUGAGGGGCCCGGAGAGACAGAGUGGAUGGCACUGAGCCGUGAUCUCUUGGGGAGAGGAGCUGCUGGCUGCGUGGUCCCAGACAAGUCUUCCAGGAGCGAGCAAAGAGCCCGCGACAAGGAGGAUGGAAGGCGGCGCGGCCGUGGGCAAGGCCUACCUGUGCACCUGGUGAUCAGCACUUACCUAGACUUCGGAGGUGAGAGGAUGGUCACAAAGAUGCACAUCAGACCUUGGUUUGAGCUGAAAGAUGAAGCCCACUCUUCCCUCAGAGAAAGUGUGUCUGAUAAGCGUGUUGGGUUGGCAGCGAGAUUGUGCCAACUUUGCCAACUGGUUACUUUGGUGGAUAUUUUCCAUCAAUCAAAUGAAUUCACUCUAUAGCUUUAAAAUUUUGUCAAAAAUAUACGUAGAGCAUAUGACAAGAGCAUUUAAUAAUUGGGGGAAAGCAUAUUGAAAUUAAUAUUUUAAUUUUUCCGAUUCUUUCUGCAUGUGUCUGGUUAAACAAAGUGCCAUUAAGUGAAAGAGUGACAGGUACAGCGUAUCCACAGCUCCCAGAUAACUCUUUGGUGCACUUCUCCAGAAACUGGUAGAGUGAAGGGCUCUCGCGACUGUGUAACAAAUCUCUGUGCAAUCCGAGUGUUUCCAACAAAGUGAAGACAUAUCAACAAGUUGAACAAAACCAAGUUGUCCAUUGACUGAUGAAUAAAUACAAUUUACAUG
rnacentral:lncRNA from 1 species